rnacentral:rRNA from 1 species
UACGGAGGGCGCGAGCGUUGUCCGGAAUCACUGGGCGUGAAGGGCGCGUAGGCGGCCCUGGUAAGUCUGCGGUGAAAGCCCGGGGCUCAACCCCGGGUCGGCCGCGGGUACUGCCGGGCUGGAGUGCCGUAGGGGCAGGCGGAAUUCCGGGUGUAGCGGUGGAAUGCGUAGAGAUCCGGAAGAACACCGGUGGCGAAGGCGGCCUGCUGGGCGGCGACUGACGCUGAGGCGCGACAGCGUGGGGAGCAAACAGG